rnacentral:rRNA from 1 species
UACGGAGGGGGCGAGCGUUGUUCGGAAUUACUGGGCGUAAAGGGCGCGUAGGCGGGCCAUUGCGUCAGAGGUGAAAGCCCUGGGCUCAACCCAGGAAUAGCCUUUGAUACGGGUGGUCUUGAGUGCGGGAGAGGAUGGUGGAAUUCCCAGUGUAGAGGUGAAAUUCGUAGAUAUUGGGAAGAACACCGAUGGCGAAGGCAGCCAUCUGGACCGUAACUGACGCUGAGGCGCGAAAGCGUGGGGAGCAAACACG